AUUGAACGCUGGCGGCAUGCCUUACACAUGCAAGUCGAACGGCCGCAUGUUUUAGCUUGCUAGGUUUAUGGCGAGCGGCGGAAGGGUGAGUGAUACAUCGGAACGUGCCGUGAAGCGGGGGAUAACAAGUCGUAAGAUCAGCUAAUAACGCACAAGACGUGAGGGUGGAAGUGGGUGACCGCAAGGCCUCAUGUUGUAGGGGAGGCGGCUGUCUGGUUUGCUAGUUGGUGCGGUUAAGAGACACCGAGGAGCCGCACAGUAGCUGGUCUGAGAGGCCGACCAGCUACACUGGGACUGAGACACGGCACAGACACCUACGGGAGGCAGCAGUCGAGAAUUUUGGACGAUGGGCGAGAGCCUGAUCCAGCAAUGCCGCGUGUGUGAAGAAGGACUUCGGGUUGUAAAGCGCUGAAGGCCGGAAAGAAAUGGCGCUGGUUAGUACCUGAGGUCGAUGACGGUACCGGAAGAAGAAGGACCGGCUAACUACGUG
rnacentral:rRNA from 1 species